rnacentral:rRNA from 1 species
UACGGAGGGGGCAAGCGUUAUCCGGAUUUAUUGGGCGUAAAGCGUCCGCAGGUGGUUGAGCAAGUCUGCGGUCAAAGCGCGAAGCUUAACUUCGUAAGUGCAGUGGAAACUGAUGGACUUGAGGGUGAUAGGGGCAGAGGGAAUUCCUAGUGUAGCGGUGAAAUGCGUAGAGAUUAGGAAGAACACCGGUGGCGAAAGCGCUCUGCUGGGUCACACCUGACACUGAGGGACGAAAGCUAGGGGAGCGAAAGGG